GCCAUCGUCUCAGAUAGCCAUGCAUGUGUAAGUAUAAAUAAUUCUACUUUGAAACUGCGAAUGGCUCAUUAUAUCAGUUAUAGUUUAUUAGAAAUAAUUUACUACUUGGAUAACCGUAGUAAUUCUAGGGCUAAUACAUGAGUAAAUCCUCGACUUUGAAGAGGUGUGUUUAUUAGUAUGAAAACCAUAUGCUUUUGCAUAAUAGUGAGUAAUAAUAACCUUUCAUAUCGUAUGUUGUAAUAACGAUAGUUCUUUCAAGUUUCUGCCCUAUCAGCUUUCGAUGGUAGUGCAUUGGACUACCAUGGCAGUAACGGGUAACGAAGAAUUUGGGUUCGAUUUCGGAGAGGGAGCCUGAGAGAUGGCUACCACAUCCAAGGAAGGCAGCAGGCGCGUAAAUUACCCAAUCCUGACAUAGGGAGGUAGUGACAAUAAAUCACAAUGCGGGACUUUUAGUUUUGCAAUUGGAUUGAGAACAAUGUAAAAGAGUUAUCGAUAAACAAUUGGAGGGCAAGUCUGGUGCCAGCAGCCGCGGUAAUUCCAGCUCCAAUAGCGUAUAUUAACGUUGUUGAAAAAAAAAAAAUCUACAA
rnacentral:rRNA from 1 species